rnacentral:rRNA from 1 species
CAAGAGCGUAUAUUAAAGUUGUUGCAGUUAAAAAGCUCGUAGUUGGAUUUCUGGUACAAUGCGCCUGGCCCGCGACCGUUAGGUCUGUGAGUGCCGGUGCGCGUUUGCCAUCCUUCUAGAAAACGUUUCUACCCUUCACUGGGCCGGACUCGCGAUCUAGAUCUUUUACUUUGAAAAAAUUAGAGUGUUUAAAGCAGGCUUUUGCUGUGAAUACAUUAGCAUGGAAUAAUAAUCUAGGGCUUCGGUUCUAUUUUGUUGGUUUCUAGUACUGAAGUAAUGAUUGAUAGGGAUAGUUGGGGGUGCUAGUAUUGGCCGGCCAGAGGUGAAAUUCUUGGAUUCGGUCAAGACUAACUUAUGCGAAAGCAUUCACCAAGGAUGUCUUCUUUAA